rnacentral:rRNA from 1 species
GACGAACGCUGGCGGCGUGCUUAACACAUGCAAGUCGAACGGAAAGGCCCUGCUUGCCGGGUACUCGAGUGGCGAACGGGUGAGUAACACGUGGGUGAUCUGCCCUGCACUUCGGGAUAAGCCUGGGAAACUGGGUCUAAUACCGGAUAGGAGCCAUUUUUAGUGUGAUGGUUGGAAAGUUUUUUCGGUGUAGGAUGAGCUCGCGGCCUAUCAGCUUGUUGGUGGGGUAAUGGCCUACCAAGGCGGCGACGGGUAGCCGGCCUGAGAGGGUGGACGGCCACAUUGGGACUGAGAGACGGCCCAGACUCCUACGGGAGGCAGCAGUGGGGAAUAUUGCACAAUGGGCGCAAGCCUGAUGCAGAGACGCCGCGUGGGGGAUGACGGCCUUCGGGUUGUAAAAUCCUUUCGCUAGGGACGAAGCUUUUUGUGACGGUACCUAGAUAAGAAGCACCGGCUAACUACGUG